CUUUGUCCAAAAUGUUUUCACAUAAAUCAAAUUUGACAUUUUUCAUUUUCCAUACAAACGUGUUUUUAAAGUAUGUUUAUAAUACUUAUGUAUUGUGUCACUAAUAGUACAUUUGAAAAUCUAAAAUGCAUGUGAUCAAACAUUUUGUUCACUAAAUAUGUGCCUAGCAGGCACUUAAAAAUUGAAUUAUAAAUGUUUUAUACAUGAAUUAUAUUUAUACAUUUUUAUGCAUUCCAAUCAGGUAUACAAUGACCAACAAUCCGCCACGUAAAACAACAAUGCCAAUUGUUUUUUGUAAACAGAAUAGAAAUAAUAAGUACAGUAAAGCCAUGACUUAUACUUUUAUUAAAAUUACACUACCCUGUGCCUAAACCAUGUCAAGGUACCUAACUUUGUGGAUAAAAUUGUUAAAUUAAAAAGAAACGCUUGGAAAUUUAACAAAAUUUAAAAGUCGUACUUUGUGAUAAAAAAAGAAAAAAAGAAUUUGAACUUAAUAUAGCAUUAAGCAGAAUGCCAAUUGCCAAGAUGUCAGUAUUUUUGGAAGCGGAUUAUUUAGAUUAUUAUUUUUACCUGUGUUAUUGUUAUUCAUUAUUGUCACAAUAUAUUAUUAUGAUUGUAUAUUGAUGUCUAUACUUUAAAUUUAUGAUUUAAAAAUUGUACUUAAACAAAGGAAUUACUUGUUGAAAUCAAUUUUUGAUGGUCUUUGAUAUUUUAUAUAACAAACCUAUUAUUUUCAAUACUCGUUAUUUGUUUACAUUUUUUUUAUAGUUUAAAGUGUAAUAUUAAUUUGUAUUGUUUAAUAUCAUAUUAUAUAUUUAUAAAGUAUAUUUUUUUUUUUUUUUUAAAUGCCUACGCCAUGUUGUG